rnacentral:tRNA from 1 species
GCCCGGGUGGCGGAAUGGUAGACGCAGCGGACUCAAAAUCCGCCGACUAAACAUCGUGAGGGUUCGAGUCCCUCCCCGGGCA